AAAGAGAGAGAAAAAAUGCCUCAGAGUUGAUUUUUUUUUCGUAGAGACGCAUCUCUCAAAGUAUAUUUAACACCAUCACAGGCAU
rnacentral:snoRNA from 1 species